UACAGAGGUCCCAAGCGUUGUUCGGAUUCACUGGGCGUAAAGGGUGCGUAGGUGGUGAGGUAAGUCGGAUGUGAAAUCUCCAAGCUCAACUUGGAAACUGCAUUGGAAACUACCUUGCUUGAGGGUUUGAGGGGGGAUUGGAAUACUUGGUGUAGCAGUGAAAUGCGUAGAUAUCAAGUGGAACACCAGUGGCGAAGGCGAGUCUCUGGACAUUUCCUGACGCUGAGGCACGAAAGCCAGGGGAGCAAACAGG
rnacentral:rRNA from 1 species